rnacentral:lncRNA from 1 species
GGCUGGGGGUGUGUAAUGGGGAUUUGUUAAAUUGUUUGUGCUAUGCGUGCAGUGAGUGCUGUCUCUGUUUCUCCUACUGAAUCACCAGCAGCGUCUACUUGGCUCGCAAAUCCUUUGGAAUGAGUGGAAUUCUUAAUGAUAGACCCGGGUCUUACUUGAGAUUGGCUCUGUGCAAACAUCAUAGCUUCCCAUAAGAGCAGGCAACAUAUGGUUACAUCUGACCAUUUCAGCCUCUGCCUGUGAAUAUGCCCAGAAAGAAAGACAGAGGGAAGACAGGGGGGAGAAAGAGAGAAAAGGAAGAAAGAAAGAAUUGUGUGAGAACUUAAUAGUGUUCAUGCUAGUUUAAAACUGAAACCAUUACAUUUAAUUAUGCUAACAUUUAACAACGGAGAAAGAAACAGAAUUGGACUUCAAAUAAACAUUUCUGCAAAAAAGCAAUAUUGGUUGCGGAAGAUUUGUCUCAAGUUAAGGGAUGAAAGGACCCCAUGGAAAGAAGAUCCAGGAGACUGGCGAAUGGAGACCAGCGUGAGCUUUUUAUCGAUAAACUGGGCAGCAUGGCCUCCUAUCUGUGGUCAGAGGUUUUACUGCGCUCCACUUUCCCGCCGUGGACCUGGGACAGCCCACCAGGGAAUAUUGUCCCACCUGAAACAAAAUAAGCUCUUCGUGACCACAGGCCCGUUUCGUGGCCACGGCACCGUGAGGCCAGGAGUGGAGGAGCACCUGUUCUCAGGGUUGUCUACAAGUUCAUAGCACUAACAAAUUAGGAUGGGCCUGACAUUAUGCAUCUGUGCUCUUAAUAAAAUUCCUAUUUGAGAAGACUUGGUGCUCA